AGUGAACGCUGGCGGCAGGCCUAAUACAUGCAAGUCGAACGGCAGCACAGCAGAGCUUGCUCUGUGGGUGGCGAGUGGCGGACGGGUGAGGAAUACAUGGGGAAUCUGCCCAGUCGUGGGGGAUAACGUAUGGAAACGUACGCUAAUACCGCAUGCGCCCUACGGGGAAAGUCGGGACCGCAAGGCCUGACGCGAUUGGAUGAGCCCAUGUUCGAUUAGCUAGUUGGCGGGGUAAAGGCCCACCAAGGCGACGAUCGAUAGCUGGUCUGAGAGGAUGAUCAGCCACACUGGAACUGAGACACGGUCCAGACUCCUACGGGAGGCAGCAGUAGGGAAUAUUGGACAA
rnacentral:rRNA from 1 species